CUGGAAUGGCAGUCAAAAUAAAAUAAUUUAAGGAUACCAAAAAGCUAUGUUCAGCAAAUAUUAGCCUUAAAACACUAAAACAUUAUGGAUUUUCAUUUGAUUUUCAUUAUCAAUCAUGGUGAUUAGUUCUUAUUUCAUUUUACCAGUAACACAAAUGAAAAGCAAAUAAAUAUUUAUGAGACUGAGAUGAUGGGUGUGGUGAUCACAUACAGGAUGUCACAACAUUAAAUUAACAUGUUUUGUAAAUUCAGAAAUUAUUGGUUGUAUUUUAAUUUUAUCAUUGUGAUUGUUGAAAAAUAAGACACAAUUUGUGAUUUUAAAUUAUUGCGAUUUUAAGAAAAUCUACAUACAGUUAUAUGUAUCUGAUAUCUGAAUGUGAAUUCUUAUUAUAGCAAUUCUCACCAAUUUGCAUUAUUCACAUACUGUAGAUUCAUUUAUUUUUGUGGGUACCAAUUUUUGUGAAUUGCAGAAAACUUUCCUAUUCAUGGAUAUGUGAACUGGUUGUUUUGCCAAGUCGCCUUACAACCUCAUAGAAAAUUUGUUAUUUGAUGAUCAGUAAAAUACAUGAUUCAUCUGUACCCAUGAAAAUUGGG
rnacentral:lncRNA from 1 species